rnacentral:rRNA from 1 species
UACGGAGGGUGCAAGCGUUAUCCGGAUUUACUGGGUUUAAAGGGUGCGUAGGCGGGCUUUUAAGUCAGCGGUGAAAGCUUCGAGCUUAACUCGGAAAUUGCCGUUGAUACUAUUAGCCUUGAAUUAAGUUGAGGUGGGCGGAAUGUGUCAUGUAGCGGUGAAAUGCUUAGAUAUGACACAGAACACCGAUUGCGAAGGCAGCUCGCUAAACUUAUGUUGACGCUGAGGCACGAAAGCGUGGGGAUCAAACAGG